UUUAAUGUGGUGUUAUAGCACAUUACAUUUUGGUUGUAUAGGUGGUUAGUUACCCGUUAUUU
rnacentral:tRNA from 1 species